ensembl:misc_RNA
AAUUUCACACCUGGAUGUGCUCACUCAACCACGAAUAUAGAGAAAGCGCUUCUGCCCUGAGCCGCAGAAAAAUACCCCGCACUGCUCGGGCUCGGUGUACGCGCGCAGCCCCGCGCCUUGCCGGACCCACCGGGC